GGAGACAUAAAAAACAUCAUGUAGGCCCGUAAACUCUCAAGGUAGAGUAAGGUGGUAUGCUACAGGUCCAAUAUGCUCCACGAUCCAAAAAGGUUUCACAUAACGGGGGCUCACUUUCCUCUUUUCCUGAACUGCAUUUUUCCCUUGUAGGGGAAAAUCUUAAGGAAGACUUGGUCUCCAAUGAUGAAUUCCAAGGGUUCUGCGAUUUUCAAUGUAACUGUUCUGGCAACUCUAGUAGGUAGUCAAGUUUUUACGGAUGAUUGCAACCUUCUCAACAAUCUCCUUGAUGUUCAUUCUGGUCCUAAAUAAUGUUGGUUUCUGACUUCGCUCCAGCAAGUGGGAGAACGGUAAGGCUUACCUUACAGGGCUUCAUACGGAGCCAUGCUAAUGCUGGAAUGAUACCUGUUAUUAUAAGCUAAU
rnacentral:lncRNA from 1 species